rnacentral:rRNA from 1 species
AUACUCCAAACUGGGGAUAGAUACCCCACUAUGCCUGGCCCUAAAUCUUGAUGUUCUACCCUACCUGAACAUCCGCCCGAGAACUACGAGCACAAACGCUUAAAACUCUAAGGACUUGGCGGUGCCCCAAACCCACCUAGAGGAGCCUGUUCUGUAAUCGAUGAUCCACGAUACUACCUGACCAUA